UACGUAGGGGGCUAGCGUUGUCCGGAAUCAUUGGGCGUAAAGCGCGCGUAGGCGGCCCGGUAAGUCCGUUGUGAAAGUCAAAGGCUCAACCUUUGAAAGCCGAUGGAUACUGCCGGGCUGGAGUCCGGAAGAGGCGAGUGGAAUUCCUGGUGUAGCGGUGAAAUGCGCAGAUAUCAGGAGGAACACCGAUGGCGAAGGCAGCUCGCUGGAACGGAACUGACGCUGAGGCGCGAAAGCGUGGGGAGCGAACAGG
rnacentral:rRNA from 1 species